rnacentral:lncRNA from 1 species
UGGGCUUUUCUAGAUAGUUCCAGAGAGCUAAAGAUGAUAGAGUUUGAACAGCUGAGGCAGACAGAGGAUAUGAGUGUCGAUGAGUACACUGACAGGUUCUUGGAGUUGCUGCAGUAUGUGGGUCAGGCUUAUGACACAGAUCAGAAAAAAGCUAGGAGAUAUACCAUGAGGCUUCAUCCUAGGUAUUCCUCCUUGAUCCUAGCAGCAGAGAGGGAGAGUUUCCACACAGUAGUGGAUAUAGCACGAAAGAUGGAGGCUAGUGCCAUAUACAGGGGACAGUUAAACAGCAG